AAACGAGUCAAACAGGCUCGCCUUUCACUCAGAGCCUUCACUGUGGACCGGGAAGAGUUGAACACCGCACCACCGCGAAGGCGACCCUUUAAAGUUGGUAUGGAUGGACCAACGAAAAACACAGGGGGUAGAGAAUCCAUGAAGAGAAAUUAUGGAAGAGGUGACAACGACUCUUUCAGGGGAGAGACGAGUGCCAGUAGUGAGUGUAGAAAUAGUAAAAGGAGGAGAACACAGUGGGGGGAAGACGGCACGGCUGCUACAGGGAGAGCUGGACCAUGGGAGGACAGAGGAAGGAUAGGAGGAAGUAGAGGAGGUUGGAGGGAUCAAAGACGCCCUGAUGUGAGUCAAGUAGGCAGAGGACAAGGGAGAGGGACGAGUUGGG